rnacentral:rRNA from 1 species
AGAGUUUGAUCAUGGCUCAGGAUGAACGCUGGCGGUCUGCUUAACACAUGCAAGUCGAACGGAGUAGAAAUACUUAGUGGCGGACGGGUGAGUAACGCGUGAGAAUCUGCCUUCAGGACGGAGACAACAGUUGGAAACGACUGCUAAGCCCCGAUGAACCGAAAGGGAAAAUAUUUAUAGCCUGAAGAUGAGCUCGCGUCCGAUUAGCUAGUUGGCGGAGUAAAAGCCCACCAAGGCGACGAUCGGUAGCUGGUCUGAGAGGACGAUCAGCCACACUGGGACUGAGACACGGCCCAGACUCCUACGGGAGGCAGCAGUGGGGAAUUUUCCGCAAUGGGCGAAAGCCUGACGGAGCAAGACCGCGUGAGGGAGGAAGGCUCUUGGGUUGUAAACCUCUUUUGUCAGGGAAGAAGAAAGUGACGGUACCUGACGAAUCAGCAUCGGCUAACUCCGUGCCAGCAGCCGCGGUAAUACGGAGGAUGCAAGCGUUAUCCGGAAUUAUUGGGCGUAAAGCGUCCGCAGGUGGCACUUCAAGUCUGUCGUCAAAGACCGGGGCUUAACCCUGGAAAGGCGAUGGAAACUGAAAGGCUAGAGAGAGGUAGGGGUAGAGGGAAUUCCCAGUGUAGCGGUGAAAUGCGUAGAGAUUGGGAAGAACAUCGGUGGCGAAAGCGCUCUACUGGACCUCAUCUGACACUCAGGGACGAAAGCUAGGGGAGCGAAUGGGAUUAGAUACCCCAGUAGUCC